UGUCUUUUUGAAAAUAAUAUAAAGUCUAAUCUGCCCACUGAUAAAUAAUUGAAGGGCUGCAGUAUUUUGACUGUACAAAGGUAGCAUAAUCAUUAGUCAUUUAAUUGAUGACUUGUAUGAAGGAUUGGAUGAGAUAUAAACUGUCUCUUAAUUAAAUAUAGAAUUUAAUUUUUUAAUUAAAAAGUUAAAAUAAUUUAAAAAGACGAGAAGACCCUAUAGAGUUUUAUAGGUAAUUUAAUUAAGAUUAUUUAAUAAAAUAAAAUUAAAAUUAAUUUACUUAUUUUGUUGGGGUGACAGAAAAAUAUAUAUAACUUUUUUUAUAAUUAAAACAUUUAUAAGUGAUUAAAUGAUCCAAUAUUAUUGAUUAUAAGAAAAAAUUACCUUAGGGAUAACAGCGUAAUUUUUUUUUUUAGUUCGUAUAAGAAAAAGAGUUUGCGACCUCGAUGUUGGAUUAAGAUAAAAUUUAAAUGCAGAAG
rnacentral:rRNA from 1 species